ACCUGGCUGAAGUCCGACGCUUAACCGACUGCGCCACCCAGGCGCCCCAUCUGCUCAGUUCUUAUAUGCACAAGAUGACAAGGAAAAUGAUCGAAAAGUGAAAAAAAGUUGCAGAAUGUGAAGUUGGAAAAAUUGGGUUGAAGUUCAAAAUGACAUCUCUCUCUCUCUCUCGAGGCAGAACACCUUCAGGGUAAAUAUGUAUUGAACACUUCCCACGGCUUCAGCCCUGUGCUAAGGCUGCCAUAUUAGGAGAGGACUUGGGAGGAAUGAUGCUCACAAGCUCUGUUCCAAAAUGAUACACUACUCUUUCUUCUUGAGAGCUAAAGGAUGAAAACAAUGAGUCCAAUUCAUAGGCGACUGAUACAUCUCACGGCUAAAAAACCCUAAGAGUACCUAUCCUGUUUACUAGGUAUAUGGAACUGGGAAAACCUCGAUAUGUUAGAGGCUGGGAAGACCAAUAUCUGGCCAAAUGAAAAGGCAAGUUUAUUAGGAUGGUGAUGAUCCAAUAAAAGGAAUUACUUCAGCAGGACCUGGAAGAGGACACACACUUUCAUAUGGACAAAUUAGAGAGAGAGAAGAAGAGAGAGAGGCACAUGGAUGUAGCAUACACUGAAAAUUCUGUUGUCACAUUAAUAAAUUGGAAAAGAAUAUUUAACUGAUUUACAGAAAGGAAUCAGAAAAUAUGAAUCCAGUUACACCUCCAGAUUUCAACAAUUCACCCCACUGAGCUGUUGUUUUCUCUUGACCUUCUCUAUGAGGCAUCAGAGGCUUCCGAGGGGUAUCCGUUCACCACAAGAGCUCCCUUAGAAGCUGCUCAACUAUUAUGCUGUUUCUAGGCCGUGGAUACUUAAAUUUGGCACAUCCUGAAGCAACAAUAUGGUCACCCCAGACUGUGUCAUCUCAAUAACUGGAAGAAAUCAACAAUUGCCCUGUUAAAGCAUCUGUCAUUAUUCCACUUUAAUACGUGUCCAGCUUCCUCUAUUUCCCUUCCAGCUCACCCAGUCAUUUGCUUUGCUCUCCAGUUGCCCAAGCCCAAGCCCUGAGGGAUGCUGAGGACACUUAACACCCUUGUUCCCAAGAAGAGGAGAAGGCUGGUGUGAGGAAAGAAUGGUUUAAGCUUCAUGUACCAGCAUCCAGUGGGAAUGGGACCUAAGUACUCUGAACAUUCUGUCAGCUUGCUUACCUGAUAAGGCAAGAAUGAGAAUCAUUUUCCUAGGAAACAAUGGUAUCUGUCAUGAAACUGCAAAGACUAACAGUAUUUACAACUCCAACGGGGCUCCAGCAAUUAACCAUGAACCAGCUGCCUGUCACCUGGCCUUGAAGAAUAAUUCAGUCUUAUGUUCUUGUAGCUCUUUCCACCACUUUCGCCAGGAAGAGAAAAUGGAGGGUUACCAAUAAACCUUUUGCUUUAGA